CUGCACAAUACUGGAUCUUCAAUGAGUUACUUUCUAUUUUUCACUCGGCAACCGGCUGCAGAUUUCACUCGGCCAACUUCGGUUACUCCUCUACACCAAACCAUGUUUCCAAACAGAGUUAUCUUUCCGUGACCCGCAAAUUAUAUUUUUAACAAUGAGUUGAAUUCUAUAGGAGGUGUUGGAACUGCACAAUACUGGAUCUUCAAUGAGUUACUUUCUAUUUUUCACUCGGCAACCGGCUGCAGAUUUCACUCGGCCAACUUCGGUUACUCCUCUACACCAAACCAUGUUUCCAAACAGAGUUAUCUUUCCGUGACCCGCAAAUUAUAUUUUUAACUGGUUUGCUUUUGGCGCAAUAUUCUGAUGUUUAGGCUAACACUGUUUUUAACGGCGUCAGCUUCUUAUAUUUAUUGGGCUACAAACACUAAACAGUUGUCUUUUAUUUUCUGAGGAGAUUUUCUGACCUUGGUAAUGUAAAUGAAGUUUGUUACUUUAUAGUAGGCUAGUAUUUGACUAAAACUGCAUAAAUCAAAUCUUAAUCAUAGAUGUACCGAUUGUAAAUAUUUUUUUUUGCUGACAAAGUCUUUUCUAACUUUUGGGGUAAGACUACUAACUAAGUAGCCUACAUUGAAAUUAGUGCUAGUACAGUAGAAGUGGUCUUGGCGUCGGGUAAUCGAUAUGAAAACAAGUCUACAUUAUAAUUAGGCCUAGAUAUCUACCUAGUCCGACUUCAUUUCAAGCAUUUUAUUUAUAUCCCUUAAGUUGUAGUAGUGACAGUUUAACUACAAUGUUCAUCAAUAGUGGUUUUGAUUUUUCACUUGGAUUGGUGGAAGAAGGUACCAUACAAUACUAUACUACUGUACUGUGUUAGAUUGUUCAGCGUAAAUUGGUUUCAAAGACCUUUCCAGUACGCCACGGUAUUCAGUAUAAUCUAAGGAAAUUAAAACAGAAGAAAAGUAUAGAAAAUAUUUCCAAUUAUCUAUCUUGAGAUCACAGAGAUUGAAUGCUGCAGGUCUUGUGUUUAGUGUAUAGACUAAUUGGUGGAUGUUAUUAACAUUAACCUUUUAGCAAAGGUUAGCUUGAUGAUGUUACUGCAGUGUAGUGGAAGAUGUUAACCUAACUUUGGUAGACAACAAGCCUAACCCUGAAGUCAACGAUGUACAAUAUGUCAGUGUCACGGUUCCACUACCAAACGUAACGCGAAUAUACAUGUAUUUACUUUGAUUGAAAUGAGGUCAACUUAAAAAUUUGUGUAGAUGUGUUAUUUGUUGUAACAGUUAUAUCCAUAAAAGUUAUAUCCAUAAAAUGUAAA